rnacentral:snRNA from 1 species
CACUGCAGAGAAGAUUAGCAUGGCCCCUGCACAAGGUUAACAUACAGAUAUGUGAAGCAUUCCAUAUUUUC